AGAAGAAAUGGCUGGAGCAGUUUGAGAUGGCCCUGUCCAACAUGUGUCCAGAGAACUGUACUGCCAACAGUCAUGACUUCCAGAUGCACUGCUUUUGAAGAUACCACCUCCUGCAAGGCCUGCAGUAUGCUCCUCAGGGGGAUAUUCUUCCAGGGGUAUCGUUGUAGUCGUUGCAGAAUGGCCGCUCAUAAAGAAUGUCUGGGAAGAGUACCAGGCUGCGGACGCAACUCAGACCACUCAGGGAACAUGAAGAAGGUAAGGCUCCUUUCAGAGGCUCUUUAUCUGGCAGCCUGUCACUAUACUACUGAGGAAUGACUGUGAGCUAGGAGCAUUA